UACGUAGGUGGCAAGCGUUGUCCGGAUUUAUUGGGUUUAAAGGGUGCGUAGGCGGUCCUGUAAGUCAGUGGUGAAAUACGGCAGCUUAACUGUCGAGGUGCCAUUGAUACUGCGGGACUUGAGUACAGUCGAGGUAGGCGGAAUUGACGGUGUAGCGGUGAAAUGCUUAGAUAUCGUCAAGAACACCGAUAGCGAAGGCAGCUUACUAGGCUGUAACUGACGCUGAGGCACGAAGGUGCGGGGAUCAAACAGG
rnacentral:rRNA from 1 species